UAGAGUUUGAUCAUGGCUCAGGAUGAACGCUAGCGACAGGCCUAACACAUGCAAGUCGAGGGGCAUCGGGGCGAGGAGCAAUCCUUGCCGCCGGCGACCGGCGCACGGGUGAGUAACGCGUAUGCGACCUGCCCGUUGCAGGGGGAUAAUCGGGAGAAAUCCCGUCUAAUACCGCGUAAUGCCGCGGGGCUGCAUGGCCCUGCGGCCAAAGGGAGCGAUUCCGGCAACGGAUGGGCAUGCGUGACAUUAGCUAGUUGGCGGGGCAACGGCCCACCAAGGCGACGAUGUCUAGGGGUUCUGAGAGGAAGGUCCCCCACACUGGUACUGAGACACGGACCAGACUCCUACGGGAGGCAGCAGUGGGGAAUAUUGGUCAAUGGGCGCGAGCCUGAACCAGCCAAGUCGCGUGAGGGAUGACGGCCCUACGGGUUGUAAACCUCUUUUGUCGGGGAGCAAAUUCCGCCACGUGUGGCGGAGUCGAGAGUACCCGAAGAAAAAGCAUCGGCUAACUCCGUGCCAGCAGCCGCGGUAAUACGGAGGAUGCGAGCGUUAUCCGGAUUUAUUGGGUUUAAAGGGUGCGUAGGCGGACUGUCAAGUCAGCGGUAAAAUACGGGGGCUCAACCUCCGCCCGCCGUUGAAACUGACGGUCUUGAGUGGGCGAGAAGUAUGCGGAAUGCGUGGUGUAGCGGUGAAAUGCAUAGAUAUCACGCAGAACUCCGAUUGCGAAGGCAGCAUACCGGCGCCCAACUGACGCUGAAGCACGAAAGCGUGGGUAUCGAACAGGAUUAGAUACCCUGGUAGU
rnacentral:rRNA from 1 species